ensembl:lincRNA
CUGGCUCCCAGUCCUCUCGGCCGGGCGGGUGAUCCUCUGGUCGGGGGCGGGGGUGGGGGGGCGCUUGCGGCAGCUCACACCUGAGGCCAUUACAAAAGGCCUGCAGCUUAACUCGCUGCAGCUCGGGGGGAUGGAUUGCCUACUAACUGCAGGCGCCGUGGUGCGCCCAGAAAACAGCGAAAACUGGGCCAGCGGAGGCGGGUGGGCCUCCUUGGAGGAGCGCACCUGAGGUGCGGGAGCGCCUCCUGGCAGCCUUGGCCUCGCCUCCCACGCGUGGACGCGCAGGGCCCAGGACACCGCAGCCGCCUACUCCUUUCUGCAGCCCCGGGGUCUGAAGAAUGGCUAUUGCUGAUUCCUGGAAUGCUGUUUGGAAAAGACUACAAAGAGAGUGAUUCUUCAUCAGUGAUUAAGCAUCUUUUCAUGGUAGGAACACCCAGAUGGGGUUCAUUUUGAUGAUAUAAUUUACCUGCAUGCUUGGAGAGCUUUAAUCAAAUGAAAUACAUUGUUAAAAAUGUUAUAUAAAAUACGUGCUACUUGGAUAGAGCUGUGAUUCUUUGGAAGUAGAGAAAUGCAUCUUGUCGCAUUGGGAUUUUGUUAAUCUCUGGAUUUCCUCAACUUUCCCUCUGACUUGUUUCUCAAUUUUCCUGCUUCCAAUGUGAUGAAAUGACAUUGGCCUCACAAUUACCUACUGAUCCAUUACGCAUUUAUGUGAGGCACCAUGGAGACAGGUACUUGUUUCUUCUUGAUGGGUUGUCUAGGAAGCCUUGGGCCUUUCAGAAUCAACAAGGAUUUUAUGUUUGACUGAUUCUUGCUCAGAGUGGCUAGUAUUUGUCAUAUUCUCCUCAGAGAGAAUUUGGAAGUCCACCUCAUCUUUUGCUAGGGAGGCGAGGGUCAGCACAGACAAGCAUCUCUCGUUUCCACUCAGCUCGUGCUCUGACACGGGCUCUCCCUCAGUGCCACACCCCAUGUCUCCCCGUCUCUGAGCAGGCCUAUGUAGGAAGGUGCAAAGAUAAGUUAACAAAGGAUGGUAGCCCUGAUCAGAGGCCUUCAGUUAAACCUCCUUCCUGCAGGUCUCUGCAUAGAGUGAGAAGCAACUUGACUGGGCCGCACAUACAGAAGAGAGGAAGGGAGGGUGGAAAGAGGUCCCAUGUAGGGAGAAGACUAUAACCAUGUGAUAUGGUUUGGCUCUGUGUCCCCACCCAAAUCUCAUAUUGAAUUGUAAUCCCCCAGUGUUGGGGGAGGAAGCUGGCGGACGGUGACUGGAUGAUGGGGGCAGUUUUUCCCCUUGCUGUUCUGGUGAUAGUGAGUGAGCUCUCUUGAGAUCUGGUUGUUUAAAAGUGUGUAGCAAUUCCCCCUUCACUCUCUUCCUCCUGCUCUGCCAUGUGAAGAAGUUGAUUGUUUUCUCUUUACCCUUCCGCGAUGACUGUAAGUUUUCUGAGGCCUCCCCAACCAUACUUCCUGUACAGCCUGCAGAACUGUGAGUCAAUUAAACCUCUUUUCUUUAUAAAUGACCCAGUCUCAGGUAGUUCUCUAUAGCAGUGUGAGAAUGGACUAUACACAAUGCUCCUAGCUUGUAUCUCUUCCCCUACCCAACUUUCCUUCAAUGAAAGAAUGGUAAAAAUAGACAUUCUAAACUCCUGCCAAAUAAUGGCAAUACAGCAGUUGCAUUUUUUUCUUCAGAACAAAUAAGUAUUAGAAUGCUUGGAUGAAAUAAGUCUUUAUUCCUACUUCUCCCUGACCCCACCAAAUAACUUCAUACUGUGAAAAAUUGUGCUACUAGUUAUAUGUUCUUGAAUAUUCAUGUAUUGAAUAUAUAACUCUGUGAUCUAUGAAGAUGAUUUGAGUGAUUGUAUCAGGUUGUAAUUUAUCACUUGACUUUAUAAUAUUUAGUCACAUAUGACCAAUUAAAUUACCCAACCUGACAAAAAUGUAUAGUGUGGUGCU